rnacentral:tRNA from 1 species
GCCUCGGUGGUGGAAUAGGUAGACACGUGGGACUUAAAAUCCCAUGGCUGAUGAAGCCGUGCCGGUUCGACUCCGGCCCGGGGUACCA